UACAGAGGUCCCGAGCGUUGUUCGGAUUCAUUGGGCGUAAAGGGUGCGUAGGUGGCGCCGUAAGUGGGGUGUGAAAUCCCGGGGCUUAACCCCGGGACUGCAUUCCAUACUGCGGUGCUUGAGGACUGGAGAGGAGACUGGAAUUUACGGUGUAGCAGUGAAAUGCGUAGAGAUCAUGAGGAAGACCAGUGGCGAAGGCGGGUCUCUGGACAGUUCCUGACACUGAGACACGAAGGCCAGGGGAGCAAACGGG
rnacentral:rRNA from 1 species